GCAUAUCCAAUAAGCGGAGGAAAAGAAACCAACAGGGAUUGCCCUAGUAACGGCGAGUGAAGCGGCAAAAGCUCAGAUUUGAAAUCUGGUACUGUUUUGGUGCCUGAGUUGUAAUCUGUAGAGGAGCAUUCGAGUGUGGGCCUGGCAUAAGUUUCUUGGAACAGGGCGUCAUAGAGGGUGAGAACCCCGUUCAUGGCCUCUGCCUUAUGCUCAUGUGAAUCUCCUUCAACGAGUCGAGUUGUUUGGGAAUGCAGCUCUAAAUGGGUGGUAAAUUCCAUCUAAAGCUAAAUACUGGCAAGAGACCGAUAGCGCACAAGUAGAGUGAUCGAAAGAUGAAAAGAACUCUGAACAGAGAGUUAAAUAGUACGUGAAAUUGUUGAAAGGGAAGCACUUGCAACCAGACGCACUGAUAGCCGAUCAACCACUAACUCGUUGGUGGUGCACUCGGUUGUUGGUGGGUCAGCAUCAGUUAUGGCGGUGGGAUAAAGACCUAGGGAAUGUGGCUCUCUUCGGGGAGUGUUAUAGCCCUGGGUGUAAUACCACCUGCUAUGACUGAGGACCGCGCCUUUCGGGGUGAGGAUGCUGGCAUAAUGGUUGUAAGUGACCC
rnacentral:rRNA from 1 species